rnacentral:rRNA from 1 species
UACGUAGGGGGCUAGCGUUGUCCGGAUUUAUUGGGCGUAAAGGGCGCGUAGGCGGCCUACUAAGUCAGACGUGAAAUCCCCCGGCUUAACCUGGGAACUGCGUCUGAUACUGGAUGGCUUGAGUUUGGGAGAGGGAUGCGGAAUUCCAGGUGUAGCGGUGAAAUGCGUAGAUAUCUGGAGGAACACCGGUGGCGAAGGCGGCAUCCUGGACCAACACUGACGCUGAGUGAGCGAAAGCCAGGGGAGCAAACGGG